AUUUUUUUGCCUGAAGAAAUAUAGUCUAGAAACCACUUGGAACCUGUGGGGGAUGACUAAUUACCCUGUAGCGACUCAAGGCCAUCAAUCUUUCAAUGCCUGGGAUGAAGACUAAGAGGGCAAGAGAAAGGAAUUACUUAUAUCAUGUAAAUUUGUGGGGAAAUGGUAGCCCAGAGAGAUGGAAAACUAACAACAACCUUCAAUUAAUGUGGGAGUCACUUUUCUCAAUGGAACAUCCAGUCUUACAAAGCUGAACUUUCAUCUUAAGAUAUCACUCACGCCCCAAUUCACAUGGCCUCAGAAUAAUAUUCAUGCUGUUUGGAAAAUCAUCCUUUUUUCACUUUUAUUUAGGUUCUGGGGUACAUGUACAGGUUUAUUAUAUAGGUAAAUUGCAUGUCAUGAGGGUUUGGUGUACAGGUUAUUUAAUCAUCCAGGUAAUCAGCAUUGUACAUGAUAGGUAGUUUUUUUAUUCUCACCCUUCUCCAACCCUCCACCCUCAAGAACACCCCAGUGUCUGUUGUUUCCUUCUUUCUGUCCGUAUGUACUCAAUGUUUACCUCCCACUUAUAAGUGAGAACAUGCAGUAUUUGGUUUUCUCUUUCUGUGUUAGUUUGCUUAGGAUAAUGGCCUCAAGCUCCAUCUAUGUUGAUACAAAGGACAUGAUAUUCUUUUCAAUGGCUGUGUAGUAUUCCGUGGUGUAUAUGUACCACAUUUUCUUUAUGUAGUCUACCAUUGAUAAACAUUUAGGUUGAUUCUGUGUCUUUUCUAUUGUGAAUAUGCAACAAACAUAUGCAUGCAUGUGUCUUUAUGAUAGAAUGAUUUAUAUUCCUCUGAGUAUAUACCCGAUAAUGGAAUUGCUGCAUCAAAUGGUAUCGGGUUGGUGCAAAAGUAAUUGUGAUUUUUGCCAUUAAAAGUAGUUCAAAAACUGCAAUUACUUUUGCACCAACCUAAUAAUUUUGUUUUAAGUUUUUUGAGAAAUCACCAAACUGCUUUCCACAGUAGCCGAACUAAUUUACAUUCCCAGCAGCAAUGUAUAAGCACUCCCUGUUUCCCACAACCUUGUCAGCAUCUGUUACUUUUUGACUUUUUAAUAAUAUCCAUUCUGACUGGUGUGAGAUGAUAUCUCAUCAUGGUUUGGAUUGGCAUUUCUCUAAUGAUUAGUACUGUUCAGCAUUUUCUCAUAUAUUUGUUGGCCACAUGUAUGUCUUCUUUUGAGAAGUGUCUGUUCAUGUCCUUGGUCCACUUUUCAAUGGGGUUGUUUGUUUUUUUGCUUGUAAAUUUGUUUAAGAUCCUUACAGAUUCUGGAUAUUAGACCUUUGUUGGAUGCAUGGUUUGGUAGUAUUUUCUCCCAUUCUGUAGGUUGUCUGUUUACUCUGUUGGUAGUUUCUUUUGCUAUGCAAAAGCUCUUUAGUAUAAUCAGGUCCCAUUUGUCAAUUUUUGUUUUUCUUGCAAUUGCUUUUGUCAUCUUCAUCAGGAAAUCUUUUCCAGGUCUUAUGUCCAGAAAGGUAUCUCUUAUGUUACCUCCUAGGUUAUCUUCCAGGAUCUAUAGUUUUAGGUUUUAUAUUUAAGUCUUAAAACCAUCAUGAGUUCAUUGUUAUAUGUGGUGUAAGGAAAGGAUCCAGUUUCAAUCUUCUGAAUAUGGCUAGCCAAUUAUCCCAGCACCAUUUAUUGAAUAGAGUGUCCUUUCCCCAUUCCUUGUUUUUGUCAAUUUUGCCAAUGAUCAGAUGGUUGUAGGUGUGACAUUAUUUCUGGGCUCUCUAUUCUGUUCCAUUGGUCUAUGUGUCUGGUUCGUUUUUUUUUUGUUUUUGUUUGUUUGUUUGUUUGUUUGUUUGUUUUUUUACCAGGACCAUGCUGUUUUCAUUACUGUAGCCUUGUGGAAUAGUUUGAAGUCAGGUAAUGUGAUCCCUCCAGCUUUGUUCUAAUUGAUUAGGACUACCUUGGCUAGUUGGACUCUUUUUUGAUUCCAUAUGAAUUUUAAAAUAUUUUUUCUAGUUCUGGGAAGAAUGUCAUUGGUAGUUUGAUAGGAAUACCAUUGAAUCUGUAAAAUUACUUUCAUUGGUUUUGCCAUUUUAACAAUAUUGACUCUUCCUAUCCAUGAGUGUGGAAUGUUUUUCCAUGUGUUUUUGUCAUCUCUGAUUUUUUGAGCAGUGCUUUGUAAUUCUCAUUGCAGUGAUCUUUCAUCUCCCUGGUUAGCUGUAUUCCUAGGUAUAUUAUUCUUUUUGUGGCUAUUGUGAAUGGCAUGCAUUCCUGAUUUGGCUCACAUCUUGGAUGCUAUUGGUGUAUAGAAAUACUACUGAUUUUUGUACAUUGAUUUUAUAUCCUUACACUUUGCUAAAGUUGUUUACCAGAUCAUGGAGGUUUUGGGCAAGGACUAUGGAGUUUUCUAGGUAUAGAAUCAUAUCAGGUUUAUAAGGCAAGGACCUUAUGGGUUCAUGGGUGAAUUGUACCAAGCAUUUAAAAAUUAAUGCUGAGAGGAGCCACAGACCCUCUGAAGGAAGCAGACUGCUCCUACAGGACCUUGGAGACACCCCAAAUACUGUGAGUGCCCCAACUGCAGAAACAGGAAAGGGAGACCCUUCUCUCCUGAACACACAACCCCACUGGAGAACCUGAAGGUCUGUUUUGGGGAGAAGCUUCUGAAUUUACCUGGAGCUGAGUCAAUUUAGAGAGCCGAGCAAAAUACAGGGGUAGAGGAAGCAGCAGAAAGGCCCUGGGAGCUUGCUGGGUCCCCUGGCAGGCCAUUCCUGCCUGGCACCACAGGGAUCCAUCAGGAGGGCAGCCAGAGGAGCAGGGGGUAAAACUCCACAGGGAAAAGGAAAUCUGUAGCUGAACUUUGUAACAAUUUGAACGGGGAGAGAAGCCUCCUGGCCAAAACUCAGGGGAGGGCACAAAUCCAGUGUGUAGACUCCACAGGCAGAGGAAGAACCAAGUCUUUUCUUUCACAGCUGGGAGGUGGGUAACCUGGGGCAAGUUUUCAAGCCCCUCUCGCCCCUCUCCUGGAAACAGACUCGGGGCUGUUGGUGGAGGGGCACCAAGGGAGUGACACUGGCCCUUGGAUUUGUGAAAGAGCUGGGUGAGGCCUGUGACUGCCAGCUUUCCCCACUUGCCAGACAACCUGCAUGACUCAGCAGAGGCAGCCAUAUUCCUCCUAGGUACACAACGCCAGUGACCCGGGAAUCUCACCCCCAUCCCUCACAACAGCCACAGCAAGACCUGCCCAAGGAGAGUCUGAGCUUAGACAUGCCUAGCCCUACUCCCACCUGAUGGUCUUUCCCUACCCACCCUGGUAGCCGAACGCAAAGGGUAUAUAAUAUUGGGAGUUCCAGGCCCGGCCCACUGCCAGUCCCUCUCCAUAUUUCUACAGCUAAUGCUCUCUGGAAAGUGCCACCUCCCAGCAGGAGGCCAACCCACACAAAAAUAGAGUGUUAAACCACCAAAACUAAGAACUCUCAUGGAGUCCAUUGCACCCCUCAUCCCGCCACCUCCACCGGAACAGGUGCUGGUGUCCAUGGCUGAGAGACCCAUAGAUGGUUCAUACUACAAGACUCUGUGCAGACAACCCCCAGUACCAGCCCAGAGCCAGGUAGACUCGCUGGGUGGCUAGACCCAGAAGAAAGACAACAAUCACUGCAGUUUGUCUUACAGGAAGUCACAUUCAUAGGUAAAGGGGGAGAGUACUACAUUAAGGGAACAUCCCAUGGGACAGAAGAAUCUGAACAACAGUCUUCAGCCCUAGACCUUCCCUCUAACAAAGCCUACCCAAAUGAGAAGAACCAGAAAACCAACCCUGGUAAUAUGAAAAAACAACAAUAUUCAACAUUCCCCAAAAAUCACACUAGUCCACCAGCAAUGGUUCCAAACCAAGAAGAAAUUCCUGAUUUACCUGAAAAAGAAUUCAGGAGGUUAGUUAUUAAGCUAAUCUAACUAAACUUUCAAUGGAAGUACCAUUGAAAGGCAAAGUCCAGUGCAAGGAAAUCCAAAAAACCAACACAAGAAGGGAGAAAUAUUCAAGGAAAUAGAUAGCUUAAAGAAAAAGCAAUAAAAAAUUCAGGAAACUUUGGACACACUUUUAGAAAUGUGAAGUGCUCUAGAAAGUCUCAGCAAUAGAAUUGAACAUGCAGAAGAAAGAAAUCCAGAGCUGAAAGACAAGGUCUUCAAAUUAACCCAAUUCAACAAUGACAAAGAAAAAUGAAUAAGAAAACAUGAACAAAGCCUCCAAGAAGUCUGGGAUUCUAUUAAACAACCAAAUCUUAGAAUAGUCGGUGCUCCUGAGGAAGAAGAUAAUUUUAAGAGCUAGGAAAACAUACUUGGGGGAAUAAUCAAGGAAAACUUCCCCAGCUUUGCUAGAGAUCUACACAUCCAAAUACAAGAAGCACAAAGAACACCCAAGAAAUUCAUGACAGAAAAUCAUCACCUAGGCACAUUGUCAUCAGGUUAUCCAAAGUUAAGAUGAAGGAAAGAAUCUUAAGAGCUGUGAGACAGAAGCACCAGGUAGCCUACAAAAGAAAACCUAUCAGAUUAACAACAGAUUUAUCAGCAGAAACUCUACAAGCUAGAAGGGAUUGGGGCCGUAUCUUUAGCCUCCUCAAACAAAACAAGUAUCGGCCAAGAAUUUUAUAUUCAGCAAAACUAAGCAUAAUAUAUGAAGGAAAGAUACAUCCUGUUUCAGACGAACAAAUUCUGAGAGAAUUUGCCACUACCCAGCCACCACUAUAAGAACUUUUGAAAGGAGCUCUAAAUCUUGAAAGAAAUCCUGGAAACACAUCAAAACAGAACCUCUUUAAAGCUUAAAUCACAUAAGAGCUAUAAAACAAAAAUACAAGUUAAAAAGCAAAAACAAAACAAAGCACACAGGCAACAAAAAGCAUAAAGAAUGCAACAGUGGCUGGGCGCGG
rnacentral:lncRNA from 1 species